CUGGACUCAUUUCAGGACUCUGAGCAGAGUUCUUAGGUCUGUAAGCCAAGCCACUUCUGUUUCUCUUUUGAGUUGCUAUAAAGUACAGACGAUUCUACCAACCUUGACACAAACGCCCAGCUGCCCCCAGUUCAGUGCCACAGAGAAAAGCCUUGCAGAACAGGUUGAGUUUGUGGAUGGGCAUGGGGUAGAAGGUAUCAUCUCUUCUCUAUCAAUGACUUGGGUGAUACUUCUGGCAACAAAACAGACAGUUCUCGGCCUCUGUGUUUUCAUUGUCCAACUGAAGAUUAGACAAGAGGCAGCAUGGGGUGGUGGAUAAAUCGUGGACCAGGAUUGAAGCGAAGAUCUGCUCAUCUGGGACACUCACCAGUCGUCCUCAGGUUCUGAAGAGAACUCACCGGUUGUAGAGUCUGUGUUAAUCACCCAGCAUUAAUAUUUCCAUUGCUCCAUCAUCAUGUGUAAGCCUGUCAACAGCGUUCUUCUCCAGAAGUAAACUUGCUCAACCUUUAGUUUCACAUCAGUGAAGGUGGAUUCUUUCACCAAGAUGGACUUGUUUGUUCUCAGGAAAUCCAUACAGCCCUCGAUGAAGAGUUCAGAAACUCUUUUUAUGCAUUAAAAGCACCUACACAAUUUGAUGGUUUAAUACAACAAGUUUUUCCUCAUAAUUCUGUGGGUCAGCAGUUUGGGCUGGGAUCAGCUGGGCUGUUCCUCUGUUGGUUUUCCUGAGGACACUCGUGACUGCUGUCAUCAGGCAGUUCCACUGGGGCUGAGUGAUCCAACAUGACUCACUUACAUGCCUGGCUAUGGGUGACAGCUCUUCUCCGGACCUUACUCCCCACAAGCUUUCUCAUCCUCCAGCCAGCUGGACUGGACUUUUCCACACAGUGUUCUCAGGGUCUCAAGAGAGCGAGAGCAGAAGCUGCCAGGCCACUUGAGGUCCAGACUUGGAACUAACACCAUCACUUCUACUGCAAUUUAUUGUUCAAAGCAGGACAUUAAGCACCCCUAUUCAAGGGGGUAGAGAAAUAGACUCUACCUCUUGAUGGGGGAAGCAAAGGCACCUGAAAACAGAAGUGGGAGAAAUCUGUGACCGUUUUUUGCAGUCUUUCACAAGGAGAAAAUAAUCUUACCUGGACAAAGAAGAGGCUUCACCCCAGUGUUCUUUCAACUUUAACAUGAACAUGAAUCACCUUAGGAACUUGUUACAAUGCAGGUUCUGAUUCAGUUGGUCUGGUGUGGGACUGAAGGUAUUUCUAACAAGCUCUCAGGUGAUGCUGAUGCAGCUGGUUCACAGAGUACAGUUGGUGAACCAAGGUUCUAAUCACUGACAUGGGUUAUGAAGACCAGAAAUCUAAAAUAAAGGUGUUGGCAAGACCAUGUCCUCUCUGCAGCCUCUUGGGAAGAAUCCUUCCUUGCCUCCUCCUCUUCUGGUGGUUCUCAUUAUUCCUUGGCUUAUGGCAGGCUCUGCUCCCUUUCAGGCAGUCCUCCAGAGUUGGCUGCACCUAUCUUCUCCAAGGGUUUUCAAGACUGUUGUUCCACAAAGCCAAUGGCCUAUUGGGUCAACGUCCUUCCUUCCCAUCAAUGGAUGUGCUGAUAUCGUGUUCUCUCAGUGGGAGAUAUGAAAUUAACCAGGAAUGGUGAAUUUCACAAUAAAAAACACGAAGGGAUGCUUCCUAGACCUACAAAGGGGGAGACAGUGCACGGAUACCACAAACUUCACGUGCACUGAUAGGACAAUAAACAAAUGCGAAUGCAAAGCACCUUUCAUCUAGACCUAGAACAAACUUCAGCCCAAAGAAGUUGAGUGUUUUUAUUUGUUUUAAAGUAAAUUCUCCCUUCACUUAUUCACUCAGAGCCUCUUGCUCCAUUCAGAGAGGACUUCACUGCUCCAUGCUCAGACCAAGAGCAUCCUUCUUGGGACAUCUCCCACCUAGACUCUCAUGACAGGUAUAUAGCCCAGGUUGAGUGUAGGUUGGGUUAAAAUACCAGGCUCACAUCUUCAUGUCUUCAUACAAAGACACUCAGCCAGGAGGCCUUGCAGGUAAAUUCUGACCAGUCCUCUUAUGAUUGCCGAACAGAGUCACAUUGCCUAAACCUGACCUUAAGGCAGUGUAACUGCUGCUGCAAGUAUUUCUAUACAUAAUACUUUGACCCAUCUCUGGCCCACACACUUGUGCAUGGAUGGAUAUGUAGUGAAAGAACUGUUGGCCUGGGAGUCAGGUCCUCCAAUACCAGCCCUCCUCCUAGUUAGCUCUGUGAAACUAGGAAAGCUCCUUUUCUCUCUGGACUCAGUUUCUUCAUCUAUAACAUGUAUGAGGUGGACUAAGACACUAAAGAUGCUUUCAGCCCUUACAUGCUGCAUUUUCUUUUAAUAUGUAAAAGAAAUUUGCAAGUAAAGUGGAAAGAAUAAUGUAGCACCACUUAUACCCCUACUGCUCAGGGUGAAUGUAUAUGUGUGUAUGUGUGUACACUUUUAACUUGUAUAGGUAAUAUAUUCUCCUUUUUAGUAAAUGAAGAAAUCAAAUCAAGCAUCAACACCUAGGAGACUCUAAGCAGGAUACACUGGCACCUGGCAAGAUACAGUCAUCAACACCUAGAAGGACACGUGGGUCAGGAGUUCCUAAAUGACAGCCCUUGAUCCUGAUUGGUUCACAGGAAUGAUUGGUUUGACCAACAACGAUUUUUAAAGGAUGAAUAUUGAUGCCUUUCAAUGGAGCAUGUCUAUGGGGCCUGGUUCCAUUAGAGCACCCCUCUCCCCAACUUCCUAUUCACCGCAUCACUCACAUUUACAUAUCCCACGAGACCAUCAAAGGCAUUUGAUUUUGUGAAUAUAAAUUUAUUAUGCCUGCCUGAGAACAGAAGUAAUAAGAAUGUUUUCUACCUUUUCAUUUUACCUCCACUAUAGCUCCCAAGAGAUGUUACAUGGACAAGAAGGGCACAAAGAAGUUUAUACUUCCUGCUCUAGAUUAAUUGUAUCCCGAUACAACACAGGAAGGACAUGGGCUUGAAAUGAACAGACUUGGGCCCAGAUUCUAGCUCCAUCAUUUGCUUCUUUAUCCAGAGCCUCCAAUUCAUUUGCCUUCCAGAGUUUCUGCAGUGAUCAGCAAAACCAUCUGACACAGGGGACCACACAGCGGGAACUCAAUAAAUGCUAAUUCCUUCUCUCAUCCUGUUGCAGAGUCAGCCCAAACCUCUCUCCAAUAUCUUCUACAGGGAAAAGAUCUCUUGGGCUCACCCAGGCUGGGCUGUGGUGUGCAAUUCUUCAUUAAGAGAUAUGAAGAGCCCAGAAAUGGAAAAGCUGGAAUAAAGGAAUGCAGAGUGGGGCUGCCUGUUUUGUUCCUUUUGCAAACACACACAAACAUGAUGAUGGGGAGCAGCACCAGGGACAUGUCAAAGAUGACAGCAGCACUGGUCAGGUGCAAAUUGCCCUUCGAAAAAUGCCUAAGGCAGCACAGCUUUUGGCAGUCUUUUUUUUUUUUCUUUUCUAAUCAAGGCAAAGAUUUCUCUAAAAAAGCACAUAGUAAAGGAAGCCAAAGGAAUGUUAGUGCCUGUCUCUAGAAGCCACAUUUAUCUAUUUUUAGUCCCCAGCAAAGCCCAGUACACUGUAAUCAGUAUAAUAACAUGCUGUCUUUCAUAAAGACAGAUGACACAGUUGACCUUCAGUCCCCAUCUGGACACAGGACGUGUGCUGUGGGUUGUUUUGUCAGCUGUGGGCUUGGAUUAUUUGUCUGUACCCUCUCAUCUAGUUUGGAUCAGAACCAGGCAUUUUCAGGAAGACUAGAAAAUAUGAGUGUGGGGUCAACUGGACCUCUGAAAAAAGAAUUGGUAGAUGUGAAGUCUGAAGGCAUCAUGGGUGGAAUUAGUAUGGAAUUUUGCUCAAGUUACUUACUUCUGUAAAGACCUACUGGCCCCUUAUACUUUGUGGAAUAAAAUCUUCACCUUGAUCUUUUUCACCCAAGUUGGUAACUCAAUGCAGUCUUCCUGCUGGACCACUUCCUCAAUCUUGGGACAUCAAAUAUAUACUCUCAACCUCCUUGAACACAAUAAAACUUAACUUUCUCCAGG
rnacentral:lncRNA from 1 species